GACGAACGCUGGCGGCGUGCUUAACACAUGCAAGUCGAACGGGAUCCGGGCUUUCGGGUUUGGUGAGAGUGGCGAACGGGUGAGUAACACGUGAGUAACCUGCCCCCUUCUUUGGGAUAACGUCGGGAAAUCGGCGCUAAUACUGGAUAUUCUUGCUGCAUCGCAUGGUGUGGUUUGGAAAGGGUUUCUGGUGGGGGAUGGGCUCGCGGCCUAUCAGCUUGUUGGUGGGGUGAUGGCCUACCAAGGCUUUGACGGGUAGCCGGCCUGAGAGGGUGUCCGGCCACACUGGGACUGAGACACGGCCCAGACUCCUACGGGAGGCAGCAGUGGGGAAGAUUGCACAAUGGGCGCAAGCCUGAUGCAGCGACGCCGCGUGAGGGAUGACGGCCUUCGGGUUGUAAACCUCUUUCAGUAUGGAACAAGGAUCCUUCUUUUGGGGGGUUUGAGGGUACGUGCAGAAGAAGCGCCGGCUAACUACGUG
rnacentral:rRNA from 1 species